CCUACGAGUGGCAGCAGUGGGGAAUAUUGCACAAUGGGGGAAACCCUGAUGCAGCGACGCCGCGUGAGUGAAGAAGUAUCUCGGUACGUAAAGCUCUAUCAGCAGGGAAGAAAAUGACGGUACCUGACUAAGAAGCCCCGGCUAACUACGUGCCAGCAGCCGCGGGAAUACGUAGGGGGCGAGCGGUAUCCGGAUUUACUGGGGGUAAAGGGAGCGUAGACGGCAGCACAAGUCUGGUGUGAAAUCACGGGGCGCAACCCCGGAACUGCUUUGGAAACUGUGCGGCUGGAGUGCAGGAGGGGUAAGCGGAAUUCCUAGUGUAGCGGUGAAAUGCGUAGAUAUUAGGAGGAACACCGGUGGCGAAGGCGGCUUACUGGACUGUAACUGACGUUGAGGCUCGAAAGCGUGGGGAGCAAACAGGAUUAGAUACCCGUGUAGUC
rnacentral:rRNA from 1 species